rnacentral:lncRNA from 10 species
GGACCCGUAGGUGUCUGCCUAAGGACAGGAUGGGUGGAGGCAUAGGUGGGUAGGAAAGAGGCCAGCCUCCUCCAGGGCAUUCCAGUUAUGAAGUGUGAAGGUCUGCAGGGACUUUGAACUCAGCAUUGCAAAAGUUUACCGGUUCCAUUGAUGAAGAUACAGGAAAAGAUGAGGUUUCAUGUGCUGCCCAGGAUGAGCCACUGUGCCCGGCCAAAUGAGCUAUUUAUGAUGAUCAUAAGGACACAAGAUAAGGAAAUCCAAUCAGUUGCUACGUGCUGAUGAUUCUGAUUCUGGCCCUGCAGUAUCGCUUGCAUGCACCUCCUCCUCCCUGUGCUCACUGCUGGAGAAAAGAGAACCUUGGCUGAUGAUUUAUGGAUCUACAAGAUUAGUAGAUUACAUGCCGGAGGAAGUCACCACCAUCACAUAUUGGAUUUCAGCAAGCAUUUGAUAAAAUUGCUUAUAAUAUUUUGGCCAAUAUUGGAUGGAAAAAUAUUGAGGAGAUGAUGUAGUGCUGAAGAAAGACAAGAUGCUGAGGAAGACAAGACUGGUUAACAGAUCAUGGCAUUUUAAAGAUGAAGUCUCACUCUCCACCAUAUGAGGACACAGCGAGAAGGUAGCCACCUGCAAAACAGGAAGAUAGCCUUCACCAGGAACAGAAUCUGCUGGCACCUUGAUCUUGGACUUCGCAGCUUCGAUAAGUCUUCUCCGCCUAAUGGUCCAUUCCCAUUUCCACUGAUGGACCUGCAGCACUCGCCCUCCUCCACUCCCAGGAGGAACCUCCCCCACGGCUGCUGCUACAGGACUGCUUGACUUCUUUAGGCUGCUCCAUCAGGAUUCACAUUCCCCAACCCACACAGAACCUAGCCAGGGCCUUCCUAGCUUCUUUCCUUCCCUUCUUUCCUGAGGGGAAAGUCCACCUUGGGUUUAAAUGGCUUAAGACUGGGCAAUAAGCCUGAUCUCACUCUCAACCUUUGUCUACAUCAUGCUUAUGUUUUGACAAAGUGGAAUUUUACCUGAAGGUUAAGAAAGCCCAUUGCCCUUUUACGUUCUGGAAAAUGACUUACUGCAAGGGGCCACCCUUCCCCGUAUGACUUAGACAAGUUUCAUGAGUGCCCCUUUGUCUACUGAUGACAAAACUAGAUAGGGAUCUUCCAGUCUUCUGUUUUUGACCUCCUAAAUGACUAGCUGAACUGCUUGUCACCACUGAUCAAUCAGAACAAAAUGCCUGUUAGCCAAACUUUGGUUAAGCUUCUCUCCUUCCCCCAGGCCCCUGAGCUUUGGCCCUCCAUAACCCAAGCCAGCAUACAGCCUCUUCUUAGGGACCCCUCCCCACAAAUAGGCUGGCCACCAGGUAGAACAUUCUCUGAUCUACUGUCCCAUGAGGUCACUCUUUCAUUCCUCCUUGAAUUAGCAUAGUGAUGUCACCUUCCUGAGCCUUUUCUUUUUGAGACAGAGUCUUGCUCUGUUGCCCAGGCAGAAGUGUAGUAGUGUAAUCUCAGCUCACUGCAACCUCGGCCUCCUGGACUCAAGCAAUCCUCCCACCUCAGCCUCCCAAGUAGCUGAGACUACAGGUGCCUGCCACCAUGCUUGGCUGAUUUUUUUUGGUACUUUUUGUAGAGACAGGAUUUCAUCAUGUUGCCCAGGCUAGUCUGGAACUCCUGGGUUCAAGCAAUCUGCCCACCAUGGCCUCCUAAAGUGCUAGGAUUACAGGCAUGAGCCACCGUGCCCAGCCCUGAGCCUUAUUUUCACUUCAAUACCAGACAUUGCUAAGUGGCAGUUGCUGGGCCAGGGUCAGCCCCAAAUUUUCUUUAUUCAGUACAUACAGUAUUGGAAAUAUUUAUUUUAAUCAAUUACCACCAUUGAAAAAAAAUCAGGAGACUUUACGUAAAUCUUUUGGCUUCUCUUAAGAAACAGGAUCCGGAAACAUUGUUUCCACCUCCUUGUAAGGUGACAGCACUCAUAACUGGCCUGCUUUGCUCAUUUUCGUGACCUGCCUGGGUUUUGGCUUUAUGUUAACCCUAACCCCUGGCAGAGAGUGCACAGUUCUCUCUCAUAUAGUUGUUAUGAGGUCCAAAUAAAAUAGUGUAUAAAGUAGCUCCCAGUAAGAACUGAAUCAUUAUUACUUCUCCCUUUUUAGUUGCUGAAAUUCAGGUUUGUGAGCUUACGUUGACUUUUAAGCAUCUAAAUAGAUUUUCCAUUUUACAUAGAUGAAUAAUGAUUAAAAAUAGCAAAAGUAGGAUUAGAUGAACACCUGGGAUGAAGCAAAUCCUUAAAGGAAAAUAAUAUGAUCUCAGGAUCUUGAAAACAUGUUUGCAAGAUACAUUUUUCCUUGAGAUUAAAAUCUUAGACUUUUGUUAUCUCUUCCAAAUGAACCAUUUAAUCAAUGAGACAGUUUAUUGGACAAAUAGAUGUUUUCCUUGCACUGUGCCAAAAAACAGAUUUGAUUGAUUUUACAAUUAAAUUGAGGGAAGUGGCUGAUAGUUUUUGCAAACUCAUUCCUUGCCCUUUAUUGAUUUUUGUUUAAAGUUUAGCCAUUGAACAUUACAAUAAAGUAACUAAGCAAGCCACCUUGAACUGACAAAACAAGGGCACUCACUAAGUGAAAACACCACACAUAAUGAUAAGACCUGUCAGAGCACUUAUGGAUUCUGCAUCUGAUCACUGGAAUAUGACGUCUAGAGUACUAGGAUUAAGAAUCUCAGCCUUGAAGUUAAAAAAAAAAAAAAAAAAAGGACUCUUAACCUUUUCCUGGCACAGUGGCUCAUGCCUGUAAUUCCAACACUUUGGGAGGCCAAGGCUGGAGGACUGCUUGAGGCCUGGAGUUUAAGACCAGGCUGGGCAACAUAGUGAGACCCCUCCCCUUCCCAUCUCUACAAAAUAAUAAAUAAAUAAAUAAAUAAAUAAAUAAAUAAAUAAAUAAAUAAAUAAAAGAAUCCCAGCCUUGAGGUUAGCUUUGGACUAUCAAAGCUGCCUCAACUAUUGCUCAUUUAGAGAGCUCAAAAGCUUUUUUAAGAACUCGCUUAUUUGUUUCAUUUCCUCUUCUGAAGAUUUUUUUUGCAGAUCCAGACUUUGAAGAGGCUCCUCCCUCCUGCCAGGCUCACUUGCCCUUGUCCUUGCUGUGACAAAUUACAUAUUUCAAAACUCUCAAGUAGUGCCCCGCUUCUGUCCCAACGCUACCACCACCAUGCAUAUCCCUUGCUGAACUCUGAAACCAAGACUCAGUUUCAGGAAACACAGCUGUCAGAACACUCCUCCAGUUACAGAGUCUACAGGCAUCUCACACUAGGUCUCCAGGUCCCCAUGUCCCAGCAUGAAGUGGGGGUGGAAUGUGGCAGAGGCCUGUCACCUCUCCUCCCUCCAGGGCUGGCAACAACUUCCCCCGACCUGGGUCUUCUGUUUCACAACAGAUUCAGUCUUUUCAACUUCUGGAUGCCUCUCUUGGUAGCUCACACCUGCAAUCCAAGCACUCUGAGGGGCAGAGGAUCCUUUGAGCCUCCGAGUUCAAAAUCAGGCCAGUCAACAUAGUGAUACCCCUUCUCUAUCAAAAAUAAGAACUAAAAAAACUUUUUAAAUGGAUGCUUCUCUUAGCUUAGCUUCUCUUUGCAUUUGAAAAAUGAUGCCAAUUCUUUUCCUCAGGGGACGUCUUUGAAUGCCUCUGGCACUUUCACAGAUUCCUCCUUUUUUUUUUUUUAUGAAGCAAAAUGUGGCAAUUUAGACGUUUCAUUAGUUGUUACUAAGCUGUGUCUCUGCUUGUUUUGUAAACUCUUUCCCAGACCCAGUGGAAAAGCGCAUGCACUUCUUUUACUUUUUUGAAGAGAACUAGCACCCUCUGUAGGCCAAUCUUGUUUAUUAAUAGUUUCUAGUGCCAGUGCCUAAGGCAAAAAAAUUGCAUUUGUCAAACCUAUCUAUGAAAAUCCCUUAAAUUAUCAGGAAGCAUAAAAACCAAGAAUUAGUUUCUUUUGUUUCUGUUUUGGUCAGUGUCUCCCUUUUUUGGAGUAGUGGAUUUCAACAGGGGAGGGAAGC